AACAGAUAUACAUUUUUUUUGAGAUAAUGUCUCACUCUGUCACCUAGGCUGGAGUGCAAUGGUGUGAUCUCCGCUCACUGCAGCCACUGCCUCCUCGGUUCAAGCGAUUCUCCUGCCUCAGCCUCCUGAGUAGCUGGGAAUACAGAGAUGUGUCUUGCCAUCUUGCUCAGGCUGGUCUUGAACUCCUGGGCUCAAGCCGUCUUCCUGUUUCAACCUCUAAAGUGCUGGGAUUACAGGUGAUGUUUCACAUCCUCCUUCUUAAUCUACUGUCUAUUUGGAGACCAUUUCCAACCACCAAGAGUAACAAGGUGAGUUCAACUAUGAAAUACAUAAACUUGAAGCCAGCAAUUAGAGCUUUCUGAUGUGUUCAUAAUACAUCCAUUUUGUAUUGCCAUUCUUGCUGUGCAGUGUGGAAGAACAAUAAUGUAUGAUUUGCAUACAAAGAAAAUUAAUAUUCAAAGAGAAAUGAUAAUGUCUCUGUAAGACAUCAUUAGUUAUGUUUAUCACAGACACAACAACAAAGAUGCUUUUAUGCUAGAUUUAAGGAGAGAGUAAAAAUUAUUUGAAAGUGUUUAUAUGAAGCUUAUGUUUUGCAUAUUCCAUUAUGGGCUAUAUAAAUGUAAAUAUACUUUUUUAAGAGAGUUUGACUACUUGCCCACUGUCAGUUAUGGGCAUUAACUUGCUUCUCAUUAUAGUGAUUAAUUGGAAAUGAUUCUUAGCCUAAUGCAACCGAAGUAUCAUGCCAUGUCUCAGCAUUAGUGAAAGAAAGAUGGAGACAUGUAGUACUAAUUAAUAGGAAGUCUAUAUUCAGUAUUUAGACCAUAAGGAAG
rnacentral:lncRNA from 1 species